AUUGAACGCUGGCGGCAUGCCUUACACAUGCAAGUCGAACGGUAACAGGUCUUCGGAUGCUGACGAGUGGCGAACGGGUGAGUAAUACAUCGGAACGUGCCUAGUAGUGGGGGAUAACUACUCGAAAGAGUGGCUAAUACCGCAUGAGAUCUACGGAUGAAAGCAGGGGAUCGAAAGACCUUGUGCUACUAGAGCGGCCGAUGGCAGAUUAGGUAGUUGGUGGGAUAAAAGCUUACCAAGCCGACGAUCUGUAGCUGGUCUGAGAGGACGAUCAGCCACCCUGGGACUGAGAAACGGCCCAGACUCCUACGGGAGGCAGCAGUGGGGAAUUUUGGACAAUGGGCGAAAGCCUGAUCCAGCAAUGCCGCGUGCAGGAUGAAGGCCUUCGGGUUGUAAACUGCUUUUGUACGGAACGAAAAGCCCUGGGUUAAUACCCUGGGGUCAUGACGGUACCGUAAGAAUAAGCACCGGCUAACUACGUGCCAGCCGCCGCUGUAAGAC
rnacentral:rRNA from 1 species